UCGACGGCAGCACAGUACUAGCUUGCUAGUAUGGGUGGCGAGUGGCGGACGGGUGAGUAAUACGUAGGAAUCUGCCCUAGAGUGGGGGAUAACCCGAGGAAACUCGGGCUAAUACCGCAUAAUCUCUACGGAGCAAAGAAGGGGACCUUCGGGCCUUUUGCUUUAGGAUGAGCCUACGUCGGAUUAGCUAGUUGGCGGGGUAAUAGCCCACCAAGGCGACGAUCCGUAGCUGGUCUGAGAGGACGACCAGCCACACUGGGACUGAGAUACGGCCCAGACUCCUACGGGAGGCAGCAGUGGGGAAUAUUGGACAAUGGGCGCAAGCCUGAUCCAGCAAUGCCGCGUGUGUGAAGAAGGCCUUCGGGUUGUAAAGCACUUUUAGAGGGGAAGAAAGAAUCAAGGGUAAUAUCCUUGAGAGUUGACGUUACCUUCAGAAAAAGCACCGGCUAACUCUGUGCCAGCAGCCGCGGUAAUACAGAGGGUGCGAGCGUUAAUCGGAAUUACUGGGCGUAAAGCGUGCGUAGGCGGAUAUUUAAGUCGAUUGUGAAAUCCCUGGGCUUAACCUGGGAACUGCAGUCGAGACUGGAUGUCUAGAGUAUGGUAGAGGAAAGUGGAAUUCCCGGUGUAGCGGUGAAAUGCGUAGAUAUCGGGAAGAACACCAGUGGCGAAGGCGACUUUCUGGACCAAUACUGACGCUGAGGUACGAAAGCGUGGGGAGCAAACAGGAUUAGAGACCCUGGUAGUCCACGCCGUANACGAUGAGAACUGGGCGUUGGGGNNNGUGUCUCCUUAGUGCCGAAGCUAACGCGUUAAGUUCUCCGCCUGGGGAGUACGGCCGCAAGGUUAAANNNNNNNGAAAUUGACGGGGGNNNNNNNNNNNNNUGGAGCANNNNNNNUAAUUCGAUGNCNCNNNAAGAACCUUACCUAC
rnacentral:rRNA from 1 species